AGUGAACGCUGGCGGCGUGCCUAACACAUGCAAGUCGAACGAUGAUGGAGAGCUUGCUCUCCUGAUUAGUGGCGCACGGGAGAGUAAUGCAUAGAUAAUGUGCCCCUUAGUUCGGGAUAGCCACUGGAAACGGUGAUUAAUACCGGAUAUCCCUUCUUGUCUCAAGGCACGUCGGGAAAGUUUUUUCGCUAAGGGAUCAUUCUAUGUUCCAUCGGGUAGUUGGUGAGGUAAUGGCCAACCAAGCCUAUGACGGUUAUCUGGUUUGAGUGAAUGAGCAGUCGCACUGGAACUGAGACACGGUCCAGACUCUUACUGGAGGCAGCAGUGAGGAAUAUUGCACAAUGGAGGAAACGCUGAUGCAGCAACGCCGCGUGGAGGAUGACGCAUUUCGGUGUGUAAACUCCUUUUAUUAGGGAAGAUAAUGACGGUACCUAAUGAAUAAGCACCGGCUAACUCCGUGCCAGCAGCCGCAGUAACAC
rnacentral:rRNA from 1 species